UUGCAACAGGGCAGAAACUUCGGCAGCCAUACUUUUACUUUGCACCUUUGGAUUAGAUUGAUUUUUGGAUAUGUUAUUAUACUCAAUGUCACCUACAUUCUGACCGGAGGGAUUGCAAAUAUCAGACUUCGUUUGAGGGCUGUCACCGGAGGAACAUUUCUGGAAAAUCACCCUUCAAGACAGCUUUGUUCGUCGGCCGUUAUAUCAUCGUUUCACCGUUGGAUUGGUCUGGAUUUUGGAUAUGUUAUUCAUCCAGAUGUUAUAUAAAUUUUGAACGGUUUGGAUCGGAAAAGAACACUCCUACCAGAAAUUAUACUUCCCGAACAGCAGGUCUCUAAAUUUCAGGAGAAGCAUUCACUCGACUUCUCAGGAGCUCGUAUAGUAGGAGCUUAAGGAGGGACUGCAAGAGGGGCACAACAACAACAAGGAAGAGUGAGUUGAGCUUCUGCAGCUGGAUGGAGGCAAAUAUCGUAUCGCUUGGGAUGUGAAAAUAGAAGUUCAUUAACCAUGGUCCUUCAGAUUCACGCCAGGAGUAGCGUUUUAGGUCCUCUAGUCUCCUUUUGUAUGAUUGAAUAAGAAGAUGAACAUUAAUGUAUUUUGUCUUUAAGGAACUAAAUGACUUAAUAUGUAAUAGUACUCCUUUUACAUUAAGUGUCGGACAUAAAAAUGUAAUAUUAUGUAUUUGUAAUCUUAGUUUGUUUACUUGCAAUUGUUAUGAAUUAUGUGUGUUAAUGGGAAAGAAAUGAGCAUGCGAAAUGUGAGGCAUGUACCAUGAA